ACGGGAGGCAGCAGUAAGGGAUAUUGGGCAAUGGGGGGAACCCUGACCCAGCCAUGCCGCGUGAGGGAAUGAGGCCCUACGGGUCGUGAACCUCUUUUGCCUGGGGAUAACCCCUCCCGCGCGACGGGGGGCUGCAGGUACCAGGCGAAUAAGCAUCGGCUAACUCCGUGCCAGCAGCCGCGGUAAUACGGAGGAUGCGAGCGUUAUCCGGAUUCAUUGGGUUUAAAGGGUGCGCAGGCGGCCUGCUAAGUCUCCGGUGAAAUGUCAGGGCUCAACCUUGGCACUGCCGGAGAUACUGUUGGCCUUGAGAGUGGCGGAGGUAUCCGGAAUGUGUGGUGUAGCGGUGAAAUGCAUAGAUAUCACACAGAACACCGAUUGCGAAGGCAGGAUACCAUACCAUAUCUGACGCUCAGGCACGAAAGCGUGGGGAUCGAACAGGAUUAGAUACCCUGGUA
rnacentral:rRNA from 1 species